rnacentral:rRNA from 1 species
UACAGAGGGGCCGAGCGUUAGGCGGAAUCACUGGGCUUAAAGCGUGUGUAGGCGGACUUCUAAGUACCUUGUGAAAUCCCACGGCUCACCCGUGGAACUGCUGGGUAUACUGGUCGUCUUGAGCCACCUAGGGGCGAGCGGAACAAAUGGUGGAGCGGUGAAAUGCGUAGAUAUCAUUUGGAACGCCAACGGUGAAAACAGCUCGCUGGGUGUGUGCUGACGCUGAGACACGAAAGCCAGGGUAGCGAACGGG